UACAGAGGGUGCAAGCGUUGUUCGGAAUUAUUGGGCGUAAAGCGCGUGUAGGCGGCUUUGCAAGUCGGGUGUGAAAGCCCUCGGCUCAACCGAGGAAGUGCGCCCGAAACUGCAGAGCUUGAGUACCGGAGAGGAUGGCGGAAUUCCCCAAGUAGAGGUGAAAUUCGCAGAUAUGGGGAGGAACACCGGUGGCGAAGGCGGCCAUCUGGACGGAUACUGACGCUGAGACGCGAAAGCGUGGGUAGCAAACAGG
rnacentral:rRNA from 1 species